CUUUGGGAUAACCCUCGGAAACGGGGGCUAAUACCGGAUAGGACCUGCUGCCGCAUAGUGGUGGAUGGAAAGUUUUUCGGCUUGGGAUGGGCUCGCGGCCUAUCAGCUUGUUGGUGGGGUGAUGGCCUACCAAGGCGACGACGGGUAGCCGGCCUGAGAGGGCGACCGGCCACACUGGGACUGAGACACGGCCCAGACUCCUACGGGAGGCAGCAGUGGGGAAUAUCGCACAAUGGGCGGAAGCCUGAUGCAGCGACGCCGUGUGGGGGAUGACGGCCUUCGGGUUGUAAACCUCUUUCAGUAGGGACGAAGCGUUUGUGACGGUACCUACAGAAGAAGCGCCGGCCAACUACGUGCCAGCAGCCGCGGUAAGACGUAGGGCGCGAGCGUUGUCCGGAUUUAUUGGGCGUAAAGAGCUCGUAGGCGGUUUGUCGCGUCGACUGUGAAAACCUGUGGCUUAACUGUGGGCUUGCAGUCGAUACGGGCUGGCUAGAGUUCGGUAGGGGAGACUGGAAUUCCUGGUGUAGCGGUGAAAUGCGCAGAUAUCAGGAGGAACACCGGUGGCGAAGGCGGGUCUCUGGGCCGAUACUGACGCUGAGGAGCGAAAGCGUGGGGAGCGAACAGGAUUAGAUACCCUAGUAGUCCAUGCUGUAAACGUUGGGCGC
rnacentral:rRNA from 1 species